AGAACGAACGCUGGCGGCAUGCCUAAUACAUGCAAGUCGAACGAACACUUCGGUGUUAGUGGCGCACGGGUGCGUAACGCGUGGGAAUCUGCCCUUGGGUUCGGAAUAACAGUUGGAAACGACUGCUAAUACCGGAUGAUAUCGAAAGAUCAAAGAUUUAUCGCCCAGGGAUGAGCCCGCGUAGGAUUAGCUAGUUGGUGAGGUAAAGGCUCACCAAGGCGACGAUCCUUAGCUGGUCUGAGAGGAUGAUCAGCCACACUGGGACUGAGACACCGGCCCAGACCUCCGUACGGGAGGCAGCGAGUAGGGAAUAUUGGACGAAGUGGGCGCAACGCCUGAUCCAGACGAAUGGCCGCGUGAGUAGA
rnacentral:rRNA from 1 species